rnacentral:rRNA from 1 species
CUUGCUUCUUCUUGAGAGCGGCGGACGGGUGAGUAAUGCCUAGGAAUCUGCCUGGUAGUGGGGGACAACGUUUCGAAAGGAACGCUAAUACCGCAUACGUCCUACGGGAGAAAGUGGGGGAUCUUCGGACCUCACGCUAUCAGAUGAGCCUAGGUCGGAUUAGCUUGUAGGUGAGGUAAUGGCUCACCUAGGCAACGAUCCGUAACUGGUCUGAGAGGAUGAUCAGUCACACUGGAACUGAGACACGGUCCAGACUCCUACGGGAGGCAGCAGUGGGGAAUAUUGGACAAUGGGCGAAAGCCUGAUCCAGCCAUGCCGCGUGUGUGAAGAAGGUCUUCGGAUUGUAAAGCACUUUAAGUUGGGAGGAAGGGUUGUAGCUUAAUACGCUGCAACCUUGACGUUACCAACAGAAUAAGCACCGGCUAACUCUGUGCCAGCAGCCGCGGUAAUACAGAGGGUGCAAGCGUUAAUCGGAAUUACUGGGCGUAAAGCGCGCGUAGGCGGCUUGAUAAGAUGGGUGUGAAAUCCCCGGGCUUAACCUGGGAACUGCAUCCAUAACUGUCUGGCUAGAGUACAGUAGAGGGUGGUGGAAUUUCCUGUGUAGCGGUGAAAUGCGUAGAUAUAGGAAGGAACACCAGUGGCGAAGGCGACCACCUGGACUGAUACUGACGCUGAGGUGCGAAAGCGUGGGGAGCAAACAGGAUUAGAUACCCUGGUAGUCCACGCCGUAAACGAUGUCAACUAGCCGUUGGAAUCCUUGAGAUUUUAGUGGCGCAGCUAACGCACUAAGUUGACCGCCUGGGGAGUACGGUCGCAAGAUUAAAACUCAAAUGAAUUGACGGGGG